rnacentral:rRNA from 1 species
UACAGAGGGGGCAAGCGUUAUUCGGAAUUAUUGGGCGUAAAGGGCGCGUAGGCGGCCAUGCGUGUCUUCCGUGAAAUCCCUCGGCUUAACUGAGGACGUGCGGAAGAAACUGCAAGGCUUGAGUCCGGGAGAGGGGGGUGGAAUUCCCAGUGUAGCGGUGAAAUGCGUAGAUAUUGGGAGGAACACCGGUGGCGAAGGCGGCUCACUGGUCCGAAACUGACGCUGAGGUGCGAAAGCGUGGGGAGCAAACAGG